rnacentral:rRNA from 1 species
UACGUAGGGGGCAAGCGUUGUCCGGAAUCAUUGGGCGUAAAGCGCGUGUAGGCGGCCCCGUAAGUCCGCUGUGAAAGCCCAGGGCUCAACCCUGGGAUGCCGGUGGAUACUGUUGGGCUCGAGUCCGGAAGAGGCGAGUGGAAUUCCCGGUGUAGCGGUGAAAUGCGCAGAUAUCGGGAGGAACACCAAUGGCGAAGGCAGCUCGCUGGGACGUGACUGACGCUGAGACGCGAAAGCGUGGGGAGCAAACAGG